rnacentral:rRNA from 1 species
GACGAACGCUGGCGGCGUGCUUAACACAUGCAAGUCGAACGAAGAGCGACGGAAGCUUGCUUCUAUCAAUCUUAGUGGCGAACGGGUGAGUAACGCGUAAUCAACCUGCCCUUCAGAGGGGGACAACAGUUGGAAACGACUGCUAAUACCGCAUACGAUCUAACCUCGGCAUCGAGGAUAGAUGAAAGGUGGCCUCUACAUGUAAGCUAUCACUGAAGGAGGGGAUUGCGUCUGAUUAGCUAGUUGGAGGGGUAACGGCCCACCAAGGCGAUGAUCAGUAGCCGGUCUGAGAGGAUGAACGGCCACAUUGGGACUGAGACACGGCCCAGACUCCUACGGGAGGCAGCAGUGGGGAAUCUUCCGCAAUGAACGAAAGUCUGACGGAGCAACGCCGCGUGAGUGAUGACGGCCUUCGGGUUGUAAAGCUCUGUUAAUCGGGACGAAAGGCCUUCUUGCGAAUAGUGAGAAGGAUUGACGGUACCGGAAUAGAAAGCCACGGCUAACUACGUG